CCUACGGGAGGCAGCAGUGAGGAAUAUUGGUCAAUGGGCGCGAGCCUGACCCAGCCAAGUAGCGUGAAGGAUGACUGCUCUCCGGGUUGUAAACUUCUUUUAUAAAGGAAUAAAGUGAGGCACGUGUGCCUUUUUGUAUGUACUUUAUCACUAAGGAUCGGCUAACUCUGUGCCAGCGGCCGCGGUAAUACGGAGGAUCCGAGCGUUAUCCGGAUUUAUUGGGUUUAAAGGGAGCGUAGAUGUGUUGGUAAGUCAGUUGUGAAAGUUUGCGGCUCAACCGUAAAAGUGCAAUUGAUACUGGAAGCCUUGAGUACAGUUGAGGUAGGCGGAAUUCGUGGUGUAGCGGUGAAAUGCUUAGAUAUCACGAAGAACUCCGAUUGCGAAGGCAGCUUACUAAACUGCCACUGACAUUGAUGCUCGAAAGUGUGGGUAUCAAACAGGAUUAGAUACCCUUGUAGUC
rnacentral:rRNA from 1 species